UUGGUCUUUGGAGAUGGAAACACAACUCAUUUCUGGAAAGAUCAUUGGAUUGAAGGCAAGUCCAUUUCAAAGCUUGCACCACUUAUUUUCCUCCUUGUUCCACAUCGACGGCGAAAAUCCUGUUUUGUUCAGGAAGGUCUCCACCUUCGCUCCUAUAUCCAAGACAUCCAGGGCGCACUCGAUCCUAUGGCCAUGGUGCAAUACAUCGAUCUAUGGGACCGUCUCUGUCACUUCCCGCUCUCUGGCGACCCUGACAGGCUUGUAUGGCGUUGGACAGUCUCCGGUGUUUACUCACCAAGUCCUGCUACGAUGUCUUAUUCUUGGGCUCUAGUGCAGGUCCGGUUUUCAAGCUCACUUGGAAGACAUGGGCACCGUUGCGGGCCAAGGGUUUCAUUUGUCUUGUCGUCCUGGACAGUGGAGAGGCUCGCUCGCCGUGGUCUACCCCAUGUCGAUCACUAUGUGUUCUGUGAUCACGUCCCCGAGGAACUGCAACACAUACUCGUUGGAUGCUCAUUUUACGGGCAAGUUUGGCUUGAGCUCCUUUUUUGA
rnacentral:rRNA from 1 species